rnacentral:rRNA from 1 species
UACGAAGGGGGCUAGCGUUGCUCGGAAUUACUGGGCGUAAAGCGCGCGUAGGCGGGCCGUUAAGUCGGGGGUGAAAUCCUGGAGCUCAACUCCAGAACUGCCUUCGAUACUGGCGAUCUUGAGUCCGGGAGAGGUGAGUGGAACUCCGAGUGUAGAGGUGAAAUUCGUAGAUAUUCGGAAGAACACCAGUGGCGAAGGCGGCUCACUGGCCCGGUACUGACGCUGAGGUGCGAAAGCGUGGGGAGCAAACAGG